AGAGUUUGAUCCUGGCUCAGGACGAACGCUGGCGGCGUGCCUAAUACAUGCAAGUAGAACGCUGAAGAGAGGAGCUUGCUCUUCUUGGAUGAGUUGCGAACGGGUGAGUAACGCGUAGGUAACCUGCCCUGUAGCGGGGGAUAACUAUUGGAAACGAUAGCUAAUACCGCAUAACAAUGGAUGACACAUGUCAUUUAUUUGAAAGGGGCAAUUGCUCCACUACAAGAUGGACCUGCGUUGUAUUAGCUAGUAGGUGAGGUAAUGGCUCACCUAGGCGACGAUACAUAGCCGACCUGAGAGGGUGAUCGGCCACACUGGGACUGAGACACGGCCCAGACUCCUACGGGAAGCAGCAGUAGGGAAUCUUCGGCAAUGGGGGCAACCCUGACCGAGCAACGCCGCGUGAGUGAAGAAGGUUUUCGGAUCGUAAAGCUCUGUUGUAAGUCAAGAACGGGUGUGAGAGUGGAAAGUUCACACUGUGACGGUAGCUUACCAGAAAGGGACGGCUAACUACGUGCCAGCAGCCGCGGUAAUACGUAGGUCCCGAGCGUUGUCCGGAUUUAUUGGGCGUAAAGCGAGCGCAGGCGGUUUGAUAAGUCUGAAGUUAAAGGCUGUGGCUCAACCAUAGUUCGCUUUGGAAACUGUCAAACUUGAGUGCAGAAGGGGAGAGUGGAAUUCCAUGUGUAGCGGUGAAAUGCGUAGAUAUAUGGAGGAACACCGGUGGCGAAAGCGGCUCUCUGGUCUGUAACUGACGCUGAGGCUCGAAAGCGUGGGGAGCGAACAGGAUUAGAUACCCUGGUAGUCCACGCCGUAAACGAUGAGUGCUAGGUGUUGGAUCCUUUCCGGGAUUCAGUGCCGCAGCUAACGCAUUAAGCACUCCGCCUGGGGAGUACGACCGCAAGGUUGAAACUCAAAGGAAUUGACGGGGGCCCGCACAAGCGGUGGAGCAUGUGGUUUAAUUCGAAGCAACGCGAAGAACCUUACCAGGUCUUGACAUCCCGAUGCUAUUUCUAGAGAUAGAAAGUUACUUCGGUACAUCGGUGACAGGUGGUGCAUGGUUGUCGUCAGCUCGUGUCGUGAGAUGUUGGGUUAAGUCCCGCAACGAGCGCAACCCCUAUUGUUAGUUGCCAUCAUUCAGUUGGGCACUCUAGCGAGACUGCCGGUAAUAAACCGGAGGAAGGUGGGGAUGACGUCAAAUCAUCAUGCCCCUUAUGACCUGGGCUACACACGUGCUACAAUGGUUGGUACAACGAGUUGCGAGUCGGUGACGGCGAGCUAAUCUCUUAAAGCCAAUCUCAGUUCGGAUUGUAGGCUGCAACUCGCCUACAUGAAGUCGGAAUCGCUAGUAAUCGCGGAUCAGCACGCCGCGGUGAAUACGUUCCCGGGCCUUGUACACACCGCCCGUCACACCACCAGAGUUUGUAACACCCGAAGUCGGUGAGGUAACCUUUUGGAGCCAGCCGCCUAAGGUGGGACAGAUGAUUGGGGUGAAGUCGAAACAAGGUA
rnacentral:rRNA from 1 species